rnacentral:ribozyme from 1 species
GAAAAGAAGGGAAGCGAGAAAAGAGCAAAAAGAAAAUGAAACAAAACAAAAGAGACAAAGAAGCACUUGGCCGUUCACCUCAUGUUCCUGUUUCUCUUUCUUCUUUCAUUCAGUUAAACAAAGCGUGCGUCCUUUCAUUCUUCUCUUCCUUACCUUUGUUAAACUGAAUAGAAAGAGAAAGAAGAAAGAGGAACGGAAUCAAGUGAACGCUUGGGAUUAGAAGGAAGAACACCAGAGAAGGAAUGAAUGGUUGGCUUCUUUCAUCUAAAUGUAAAGGUAAAAGCCCAAAGGAGAGAGAUAAAAU